rnacentral:rRNA from 1 species
UACCAGCACCCCGAGUGGUCGGGACGAUUAUUGGGCCUAAAGCAUCCGUAGCCGGUUUUACAAGUCCCCCGUUAAAUCCAGCUGCUUAACAGAUGGGCUGCGGAGGAUACUAUAAGACUAGGAGGCAGGAGAGGCAAGCGGUACUCAGUGGGUAGGGGUAAAAUCCGUUGAUCCAUUGAAGACCACCAGUGGCGAAGGCGGCUUGCCAGAAUGCGCUCGACGGUGAGGGAUGAAAGCUGGGGGGGCAAACCGG